AUCAGUUACUUUGGCAAGACGCUGCUGCAGUCUGAUUGGUUUCUCUGGUCAUGUGAUUUCAGAGAAAUAACUCAGAGGCUGACAGACUGAGAGAGGUGAGGAGGUGAAGACUGAGAGCUCAGAGCUGCUGGACCUGCAUCAACUAACAGAGAAACGGCUCAGAGGACUUAAAGCUGAGAGACAGACUGAGCACGCUCAGUUGCUGCUUCACCUGCACCGCCUCACACAGCUAAUAGACACACAGGCGUUUCCACGGUUACCAGCAAACACAACAGUUUGUUGUUGACAGAUUGAGACGAUGUGCUCUUCCUGGUGAUAAAGUUAAACUGGUAGUUAGUCAGUUCUUCAGAAGUCUAAGAACCUUUCUCAUCACAUCAGAUCACAGUUUCAUUUAAAGUCAGCUUCUUCAUUAGAGUCUGGAGUAUCUGCUGUUGGCUGAGAACACGUGUAAAGAUCAUCAAUCCAGAACUACCCUCCAGCCUAGAGAUCAUUUUGCUCAGUCAGGCCAAGUCCUAACACCAAUAAGACAAACACCAAUCUCCCAGACUGAAGACAGACACAUUCAAAAGAUACAGAUACAGAUCCUGAAGAAUCCUCCAUGGAAAUGGCACCAACAUUCAGCAAAGAACUGCCUUCUUUCCUUUCUGAGUUGUUGAACGAUCUUCAACAACUUACAGCUAAAUUCAUUGAAAUGAUCGUCCAAAAAUGUCCAAUGUUGAGAGAGAUUGUCAAAGGGUUUCAGGAAGUCAGAGAGAUGCUGGGAGGACUAGACAGCCAGACAACAAGGAUUAUUUUAGGGAUCUCAGCUGUCGGACUCGGGUUAGCUGGAGUUCCGUUCUCUGGAGGGGCUAGCUUAGUAAUGAUAGGAGCAGGAGCAUUUUGUGCUGGGGAAGUUUUUGUUCAAGCUGCCAUAAAUAAGAUGAGAGAAAACGGAAGUAUGGAGAAAGUAGGUGAGCUGGGGAAAAGCUUCAUGGAGAUCAUUGAACCGCUGAAGAACUUCCUGAAGAAAAUAAUAGCUCGGUCUGCAAAAGCUCUGCGAAUCAAGCUGGAGGGGUGUCAGGAGACUCUUAAACCUGUGUCUCAGCUCAUAGACAUUUGUAUAAAAGUCUUGUCUGAAGUUGAAACAGCAAUGGAGACAAUGGAUAAAAUGGAUAAAACAGUGAUGGUUGUUCAGAAUGCAAAUCAGACCCCUAACGAGGCUAAAAUGAUAGUAGAGGGAAUCAAAGAGUCAGCUGAUCAGUCUAAGAAGCUCGUUGAUGGGUUUGAAAAGUUGAGGAGGGCAGCCCUACAUUUUUUAGAAGCUGUCUCAGCUUUUUGUUGUUAGGACUUUGAGAUCAUGUAAGCUGCAGUGAGAAGAAAACUUCAUGUUUAAAGAGCCCCUGUUAUGCUUUUUGGGAUUUUUUCCCAUCGUUUAGUGUGGUAAAUAGUUUUUUGUGUAUGUAGCCAUGUGAAACAGACAGAGGAGGUGCAGUAAUGGGCAAUAUGAGAAAGAUAAUGGGCCCUAUUUAAACAAUCUGAUCAUAUGGUGUGAAGCGCCUGGAGCAGGUGUGUUUAGGGCGUGUCCAAAUCCACUUUUGCUAGUUUGACGGUGUAAAAAGGGUCCGUGCGCCGGGCGCCUGGUUCUAAAGGGUUGUUCUUAGUGUCUUCAUUAAUCAGAGGUGUGUU